rnacentral:rRNA from 1 species
UACGAAGGGGGCUAGCGUUGCUCGGAAUUACUGGGCGUAAAGCGCACGUAGGCGGAUCUUUAAGUCAGGGGUGAAAUCCUGGAGCUCAACUCCAGAACUGCCUUUGAUACUGAGGACCUUGAGUUCGGGAGAGGUGAGUGGAACUGCGAGUGUAGAGGUGAAAUUCGUAGAUAUUCGCAAGAACACCAGUGGCGAAGGCGGCUCACUGGCCCGAUACUGACGCUGAGGUGCGAAAGCGUGGGGAGUAAACAGG